rnacentral:rRNA from 1 species
GUGAGGAAUAUUGGGCAAUGGGCGAAAGCCUGACCCAGCCACGCCGCGUGAGUGAUGAAGGCCUUCGGGUUGUAAAGCUCUGUGGGGAGGGAAGAAAAAGCGCAGGAGUAACUGCCUGUGUGUUGACGGUACCUCCUUAGCAAGCACCGGCUAACUCUGUGCCAGCAGCCGCGGUAAUACAGAGGGUGCAAACGUUGCUCGGAAUUACUGGGCGUAAAGCGCGUGUAGGCUGACAUGCAAGUCGGGUGUGAAAUCCCAGGGCUCAACCUUGGAACUGCACUCGAAACUGCACGUCUUGAGUACUGGAGAGGGAAGCGGAAUUCCGGGUGUAGAGGUGAAAUUCGUAGAUAUCCGGAGGAACACCAGUGGCGAAGGCGGCUUUCUGGACAGUAACUGACGCUGAGACGCGAAAGCGUGGGGAGCAAACAGGAUUAGAAACCCGUGUAGUCC